rnacentral:piRNA from 1 species
CACCAGCUACUGCGAGCUGUGCCACACGGAGU